rnacentral:sRNA from 1 species
UGUUUUUGGCAACAUGCAAGGCAUUAUUGAUGUUUCACAUUAAAAUCUGUUGAGAACGUUUUAAGCGAGAUUUUUUCUCGUCUUCUUCGGCUGCCUUUGAAUGCUUUCCGGCUGCUUUAAUUGAAAUCCAAAACACUUUGUAAGUUAGUCCAUGAAUGGCUGAAUGGAUGGAUAAUCUCCUUCAGUUGCAAGACGAGGUGAGGAGAGGAAAUUUAUUUGAUUUUCAGACAAUUUCAUAUACGUUACGUCGCAGAUGUUGUUGUUGUUGUUGCUAUAGCUGAUGCAGCUACGUUGUAGUUGCCGAUGAUGCUGUGGCUGGCUGGCAGCUUU